GCAGACAUACAAAAAUCGACUACGCCUACGCAAGGUCAAAUUUUUUUUCACUCUUUUCGAUGUUUUCUGCUUAUUGGUUAUAAGAUGAGCAGGGCAGAAUGUUGAAAAUUAUUUUAAACAUUCACAAAUAUUAUCUGGCUAAAGUAAAUACGGCGGACUCGAUAACGUGGAGGAUCCGUUUUUUCUUAGACUUGGAGAGUAGAGUGCGAAAAGCUAAAUGUGUUAAUUCUAAGCAAAGCAUUGUCGACGUCACGACGCAUUAUAUUAAUGUUUUCUUCGCAAGCCCUAAAGUUUGACAUAUGAAUCCAAACAUGCAUGCAUAUCUCUCCUGGAAAGUCAGAAGUUAACUUCGUUUCGUCCGCCAACAGUAUGGUGCACGGCCACAUAAAUUGUGUUUGCCAGCUUUUGUCAGAUAUACUAUCAUCCGAGUGUGAGCGUUUGCCAAAAAAUGAUAUCCACAGUAUAGUAAGGCGCAGUAUUGCCCAUAAAUUGCCAGAUAGUUUUUUCAUUCAAAAAUCCGCUUAAAGAGUUAUGUGCACAGCUGCUGCGUUCUUAUAACCAAGUGCUCUGGAAUGAAAAGAAUUUCGACACAAGUCUUAUAGAAGAGGAACGGAGAGGAAAGUAGAUCCACGUACACUGCAGGCAUUCAAUUUUCCCAGCUUUAAGAAAUUUAACAUAUCGUUGAGGCUACUUCCCGGAUUCGAAAUAUAUUGUCGUCUCUCGUUACGCGUAGCGUACAUAGCUUGUCAACACUACGAAGUUGACGUUAAUGGAUUUGACGAUGUCAGGAACUGAAACAUAAUUCGAUAGAAUGUGCUUUCCGUCUGUGUUUUCGUUUCGUGGUGAAUAUGUAUGCGUUUGCUUUGCUAUUGUAUGUCUACGCGUCUGUAUGCAUGUGUCCACGUUGUUGUUCAUAUUAUGUAUUGUCAAUUCAAGCAGCUUUAUUUACCUGAUUGCGGUCUUCAUUGACAUUCUUACACAACUGUCGAUUAUUAUAUAACAUUAUAAAAGAGCUGGCGGCCGACUUUGAAUGCAAUAACAAAAAAUGAACUUUAUAUUGUAUAUAACAAUCAAGGAAAUAAAGGAGAAAAGUUUUCAAUUGAAUUUUCCGCUUUUGAAAUUGAAAGAAAAAAAGAAAAAUGCGAACCACAAAAUUUUUACCAUUUACAUAAAAUACUUAACAAAAUCAAGCUGUAAAACGGCAGAGCGAGAGAGAGAGAGAGAAAGAUGAAGAAGGAACGAGGAACGAGGAACGGGCAACGAGAAAGGCGGGAUUUGCCGUCACUUGGUAACGGAAGUUAAAAUUUCUUAAAUCUUCCGUUACUGUUUAUGCGUUUAUGCAUUCCGAACAAUAACAACAUAGACAACGGCAAUCAACAACGAUAAAGUUUUUACAUUAGUUUUGCAUUUAGUGGAAAACUUUUCUUCUGUUUGCAUACAUUUACAGUUUAUUUAUUACGUUUGCGUACAUAUAUAUGCAUAAACUUACUUACUGUCUGCUCGCAAAACUGGUAACGAGAAAUUUCACUUGAAUGUUUGUGUGUCUAACUGUGUGUGUGUGUGUUUGUGUGUGUGUGUAUGCAUACAUUUCCAUUCGUAUGAUGUUAAGAAAGAGUAUUCAAGCGAAUGCAUGCAUGCCUGCGUGCGAGCACUUUCUAUUGAAAAUGUCACUUUGAAAAACACGUAUCCGUUCGCUUAAGUUUAUUUACCGUGUUAAUCUGUUUUCAUAGUCUUUGCUCCGGUUACGUUGUUUUGCUAUGUUCUAUGAUUGUUGUUAAAGAGUGUUAACAAAAAAUUAAACUUCACUUUAAAUGUUAAUAAAUUAUUACUUGUGUAUAUG